GUUCUAGAAAGAAAGCGAAGAGAAAGGGAAGAGGUCAUGCUGCUGGCCAAGGUGGGAGCUGUGGAUUCGGAAUGAGAGGACAGAAAUCUCGGUCGGGACCCGGUGUGCGAAGGGGUUUUGAGGGUGGUCAAAUGCCGCUUUAUCGCCGGCUUCCAAAAUUGAGGGGUAUUGCAGGAGGUAAUAAAAACUUCUUUUCGCAUUCUCUUUCUAGUUCUUCUGAUUAUUUCGGUUGAUUUUACGAGUGAAUUUCCAAGCUUCUGAUACUUGAACUGUGUUUGCCUACCACCUGUUUGAUGAAAUGCCUUUCUGAUACUUGAAUUACUCUAAUGUCCAUUGAAUCAAGGCAUGCAUGCUGGAUUAUCCAAAUUCGUUCCAGUUAACCUAAAAGACAUAGAAACUGCUGGAUUUGAAGAAGGUGAAGAGGUUUCACUAGAAUCCUUGAAAGAAAAGGGCUUGAUCAAUCCCUCAGGAAGAGAAAGAAGACUUCCUCUCAAGGUACCUUCUAUUCAUCCAACAAUGAAAGCGAUUGAAUUUACUAAUAUACCCUCUGAUGGUUUUAUUAGAUUCUUGGUGAUGGUGAACUGAGUGUGAAAUUAAACUUCAAAGCACGUGCCUUUUCUGCACAAGCAAAAGAGAAGCUUGAAGCUGCUGGCUGUUCAUUGACUGUGUUACCUGGCAGAAAGAAAUGGGUCAAACCAUCAGUGGCCAAGAAUAUUGCCCGUGCUGAUGAAUACUUUGCCAAGAAACGGGCGGCAGCUGCUGCAGCUGCUGGUGGUGAGUCGCCGGAAACACCGUCUUCCACCGCUUAAAACCCACGCAAAUGAAAUCGAAUUUUUGUUGUUGUAAGAAGAUUGGAAGUUAGAUGUAAAGCCACAUUGAUUUGUAUUCUGUUUGUCUGGAAUCUUUUUUUAUCAUCAAGAAUCUAAA
rnacentral:lncRNA from 1 species